rnacentral:lncRNA from 1 species
AAAAGACUAGGACCAGAAGGAUUCUCAGCCAAGGUCUAUGAGGCCCUCAAAGAAGAAUUAACACCAAUACCCCUCAAAUUAUUUCAUGAUAUAGAAAAGAAGGGAACCCUUCCAAACUCAUUCUGUGAGGCUAGUAUCACCCUAAUACCAAAACCAGACAAAGACACAUCAAGGAAAGAAAACUUGAGACUAAGAUCCCUGAUAAACAGACAUAAAAAUUCUCAAUAAAAUUCUGGCAAAUUAAAUACAAAAACAUUAAAAAGAUAGUGCACCAUAAUCAAAUGGGGCUUAUUCCAGGGUUGAAAGGUUGAUUUGACAUCAAUCAACGUAACUCAUCACAUCAAUAGAUUUAAAGACAUGAACCAUUUGAUCACCUCAAUAGAUGCAGAAAAAGCAUUUGACGAAUACAUGUUCAAAACACAGGGCCAAUCUUAACCCAAGGAAGGGAACCUGGCUUUUGCAGAAUUACAACAUUGGUGAGUGAAAGAGGAUGGAGUUAAUUUCCUGGGGGCCAAAAGUCAAAUCUUUCUAGAGCACCCUGGAGGUCUCUGCUCCAAAAGAGAGUCCUAGCUGUGCAGAAUAAAGCCACAAAUGCACUUUUGAAUUCAUGGAUUGAUAAUGUCAGAGGUGACAGUGUUCCUUCUCCUUAGAAGUUAGUUCACAGAAUUAAUCAUGGUUUCCCCAUAAAAAGGUCCCUUCUUGGGGACAAGCCACCUGAGGCUACCUACCUUGUUUUCCUGCAGGUCAUCAAGGCCAUCAUUUGCUGUGUCAUCAUGCUUAUCAUGCUUUGAUCAAACUUUUUUUCCCCUAACAUAAUUAAACCUUCCUUUGAACGUAUUUUUGGCAGUCAGUUAUGGAGUUUAAUUUUUCAUGUUCCAAAAAAGAAAUGUGAAAUAAGGAUCACCACCCACCAGAUCCCUAAUAGAUUGUUAGUAAAACUGAAAAAAAGCAAACAAAAAAAAAACCAGACUGUACUUGUAUUGAAAAUCAGGAUUUUUUAAAAAAUAUGUUUAUGCUCUCUAAAUGUUAUACUGAUAUCAAUUGAAUCUUUUCAUUCUAAAAGUCAAAAUACUAAAUAUAGAUGUCAACUCAAGGAACCUGGGCUACCAUAUAUUUAGGUUAACAUUACAUUUCCUAAUCAUAAGCUAAAAUCUCUUUUCAAAAAAUAUUUGUAUGUUGUUGUUAGGCAAUAAAUUAGACACAUUUUGAAAAUGAUCUCUCUCCAAAGAGCUGUUAAUAG